CAUGCCUUGAGGUGGGGGAAACAGUUGGAAACGACUGCUAAUACCGCAUAAUGUCUACGGACCAAAGGGGGCUUCGGCUCUCGCCUUUAGAUUGGCCCAAGUGGGAUUAGCUAGUUGGUGAGGUAAUGGCUCACCAAGGCGACGAUCCCUAGCUGGUUUGAGAGGAUGAUCAGCCACACUGGGACUGAGACACGGCCCAGACUCCUACGGGAGGCAGCAGUGGGGAAUAUUGCACAAUGGGCGCAAGCCUGAUGCAGCCAUGCCGCGUGUGUGAAGAAGGCCUUCGGGUUGUAAAGCACUUUCAGUCAGGAGGAAAGGUUAGUAGUUAAUACCUGCUAGCUGUGACGUUACUGACAGAAGAAGCACCGGCUAACUCCGUGCCAGCAGCCGCGGUAAUACGGAGGGUGCGAGCGUUAAUCGGAAUUACUGGGCGUAAAGCGUACGCAGGCGGUUUGUUAAGCGAGAUGUGAAAGCCCCGGGCUCAACCUGGGAACUGCAUUUCGAACUGGCAAACUAGAGUGUGAUAGAGGGUGGUAGAAUUUCAGGUGUAGCGGUGAAAUGCGUAGAGAUCUGAAGGAAUACCGAUGGCGAAGGCAGCCACCUGGGUCAACACUGACGCUCAUGUACGAAAGCGUGGGGAGCAAACGGGAUUAGAUACCCCGGUAGUCCACGCCGUAAACGAUGUCUACUAGAAGCUCGGAGCCUCGGUUCUGUUUUUCAAAGCUAACGCAUUAAGUAGACCGCCUGGGGAGUACGGCCGCAAGGUUAAAACUCAAAUGAAUUGACGGGGGCCCGCACAAGCGGUGGAGCAUGUGGUUUAAUUCGAUGCAACGCGAAGAACCUUACCUACACUUGACAUACAGAGAACUUACCAAAGAUGGUU
rnacentral:rRNA from 1 species